CUGGAGGAGGGCAUGGCAACCCACUCCAGUAUUCUUGCCUGGAGAAUCCCAUGGACGGAGGAAGCUGAAGGGCUACAGUCCACGGGGUUGCAAAAGAGUCAGACAUGACUUAGCCACCGAGCAUGCUCACGGCACGCACGCAACAUCCUACAAGGCACAGGGCAGCGUCUCUCUGUAAAGAGUUAUCCAGCCUAACAGAUCAGGAGCUCCAAGGUUGAGAAACGCUGUGUUGGAGCAUGUUUCCUUUGAAUUUUAGAGACUUUUCGCCUAAAAAGAACCUUCUUUUGACCUGCAGAAGGCCCUGGGAGGGGUUGGCUACACCUGUGCAUAUGUAUGACUGAAUUACUACUCUGUUGAUCCAUUUACACCUGCUGGGGCUUUGUGGGCAGCUAGUUGAGAAUAAGACCUGGAUCCAGGAGGUGUCUGGGUGGGGGACAAGCCAGGUGGGGAUGAGAGCUGAGCGGCCACACAAACUAAAUGUCACAACUUUUCUAGUUUUCUAAAAGAGAGGGUGCUUCCUUGGGCAAGGUCCCAGUUCUUUCUCUCCAAAGCAUGAGCAAAAGCUCAGCCAAGUCCAGCUGGGGAUCCAUUAGCUGCAUCUCUGAAGGUAGAAUAAUGGACCGGCUUUUCCUGAUAUUGUAAGUAGGAUGCUUUGCAUAGAUUAAGCAAAGGUGAACCGUCCAUCUUCCCAUUGCUCUUAGAAGGGCCAGAGGCAGCCAGAAGCAUUUGCAUGGCGGUCCCUGUAGGGAAAGAGAACAAGGGAAAAAAACGAAAGAAAAGAGUGACCAGCCUACUGGUGUGUCAACCCGUGGUGUGAAUUGACCUUCAGGUCUACUCCUGCCGGCUGGACUCCUUUUGCCUGACCACCUGGUCUCAACUGUAUCUUCCGGUCCACCAUCAGUGGAACUGUGAGAGUCUCACAGCUCACGUGAGCCUAGAGUCUUCAGAAAUAUGCAUUUUGCUUCCAGCCAACCCUGUCAAGUGGCCCCAGGUGUCUGUCUGUCUACCAGGGUGGAUAUAUCCUAAGUCCAGGUGUGGAAACACAAAGACUCUGUCCCCAGGGACCCUUCUUUCUGAGCAUCUGGGGGAGUCUAGGGCCUAAAGACUUGACGUUGCUCCGGCCCCACCCAGAGAAAGCCCCUCCCAGAGGAGCCAUCUGGGUUCCCGGGCCUCUCGGGAGCUUGUGCAGGUUUCCGACGGAGUUAUGGGUGAUCUGGAGUCCGUCAGGCCUGACAGUUCCUGCCCCGUGUCUCUCCUUGCAGAACUGUGAAUUCUGGGAUGCUGAGGGGAACAAAUUCCUCUCCUGUUGUUGGAAAGAGAAAGGUGACUUUGCAGGAUACGUGCUUGGCUGUGUCUAUCCCGGGGUCAUCUGAGAUGGCCCUCGAGAUCUUUCCUUUUAGCUGUUGACAUUUGCGCUGUUAUGUAUGCCUGUGUUGUUCUCAGUCGCUCAGUGAUGUCCGAUGCUUUGCGACCCCAUGGACAGCCACGCUGCAGGUUUCCCUGUCCUUCACCAUCUCCCAGAGUCUUCUCAGAUUUGUGUCCAUUGAGUCAGCAGUGCUAUCGAAUCAUCUCAUCCUCUGCCGCUCUCUUCUCCUUUUUUUGCCCUCAGUUUUUCCCAGCAUCAGAGUCUUUUCCAACAAGUCGGCUCUUUGCAUGAGGUGGCCAAAGUAUUGGAGCUUCAGCAUCAGUCCUUCCCAUGAAUAUUCGGGUUAAUUUCCUUGAGGAUCGACUGAUGUGUGCAUGUGUGUGUGUG
ensembl:lncRNA